GUAUGUAAGUCUCGUCAUGUGACUUGCGAGAUUUCACGAUAUUUUGCACUUCCGGGUACAAACAAAUAUCAACAAUCCAGCAUUGCUUAUCUAUAUUGGGUAAUACUUGUAUGCCGGUGGGAAAGUAAAACUUACAUGGAAAAGCAAAUGAUAUGUGGAAAUUGGCAGAGUUUUUUGUUUUGUAACGAAAUGCAAAUGGUCUCAUCUUGUGCACAAGUAUCAAUGAAAGACAACUUCGUAUAAUCUUCAGGUGGGUGUGUCAUUUCAAAUUUAGUUUAUCCAAAUAAAUGUUGUAAUAUUUUCAUUUCCAUGUAAAUCUAAUAGAUUUGUUUUUUGAUACAACAUCAUUCGCAUCUGACACCAGACUGGUGAAUUUGAUUUUAUCAAUUUUCUAUAGCGCUACCUGAUUAUCUCUCAGAAGUAUAUAAUGUUUAGAAAUUUCGGACAGCGCAUAUUUCGGAUAAACGUUUCAAUAUGAUUAUCAGUGUGUUUUAGUUAAAUAUAUUUUCUUCCAACUGAAAAUAUUAUUUAUUUAUAAUUAUUAUCUUUAUAAAGCACAAACAGUCAAGCUGUAUAUAACCAAUUUAAAUUGUCAUAAAAUUCAGUGAAAUAUUUUGCUCCUGUAGAUAUUUAGACUGAGGAAAGUGGUGAGAUAAAAGACGUCAACUGGUAUCCGAUGUAAAUACACAUGCAUGUUCUGCUGUAAAAUCGUUUUGGUAUGUGAUUUCAUGGUUGGAUCUUGAGUACUUGUCAUGGCUCUUGAUUUAUUUUGGAGUGUUCACCAUCAGAUUAGAAAUCAAAUAGUGAUACCACCAGGCAUAGUUGAAAGGAAAUGUCCAUACACAGUCUUGGAGUACAUAGUGGUAGAGACAUGGCAGUCCAUUACAGAUUUUGACUGAAUUAAAGCUUCUUAAAGCUCCAUGUCUUGUGUAAACUGUCUGACUGAAUGUUUGUAUUCUGAUAAAAACUAAGGUUGAAGACACUUCAAAGAUAUAUGUCAGUGUAAAAAUGUUAAACAAAAUAUCUGUCUUUGUAAGAAAUAAAUAACCUGUCUUUGUUAGAAAUAAAUAACCUGUCAUUUGUAACUUUGUAUUAACUUAAUUAUUCAAAGAUAAUUUAUCUUCUGCAAAUGGCUGCCCAAAACAGUUUCAACCAGGCAUCAUGUAGUUUCAAAACAGUUAAGAUAAAUUUGUUAUAAAUAGACUUGUAAAGUAACAGGAAUGGUAAAAAGAUUAAUGUUCAGCAUUAAAAUGUUUCUAUCUUGA